AGCGAACGCUGGCGGCAGGCCUAACACAUGCAAGUCGAACGAAGCCUUCGGGCUUAGUGGCGGACGGGUGAGUAACACGUGGGAACGUACCUUUUGGUUCGGAAUAACGCAGAGAAAUUUGCGCUAAUACCGAAUGAGCCCUUAGGGGGAAAGAUUUAUCGCCGAAAGAUCGGCCCGCGUUGGAUUAGGUAGUUGGUGUGGUAAAGGCGCACCAAGCCUACGAUCCAUAGCUGGUCUGAGAGGAUGACCAGCCACACUGGGACUGAGACACGGCCCAGACUCCUACGAGAGGCAGCAGUGGGGAAUCUUGCGCAAUGGGCGAAAGCCUGACGCAGCCAUGCCGCGUGAAUGAUGAAGGUCUUAGGAUUGUAAAAUUCUUUUACCAGGGACGAUAAUGACGGUACCUGGAGAAAAAGCCCCGGCUAACUUCGUGCCAGCCGCCGCCGUAAGAC
rnacentral:rRNA from 1 species